CGUCAGCACGGAUUUUUCCUUGCAUGCGUAAAAAGCUCCGUCCGAAGAGAACUGAACUGAAACUGGAAGGACUGGUGGGCGUCCUUUAGGUGAAAACCCCAAAAGGGGUGCGGUGAUACAGAAGCAGUCCUUGAAUGUGUCCGAGGGAAAAUCGAGGCUCACUGAAGAAGUGCGGAGCCACUCAGGUUGUCCCUCCGCUCUUGGAAGUGACGCAUCGGUCAAGCAGGAGCGCAGUCUGCCCGUCAGACGGAGGAGAGGUCUAAUGAGAUGUUGUCAGAUCAGAUCUGUCAGGAGGCGGCUCGCGCAUCGGUGCAUGAUGCAGUAUGUUUUAGCAUGGCAGCUUAUCCAUAUCCACUGUCCAAAAACCCACCGAGAAACGCAAUCUCACACUCAGAGGAAGAAACCAAAGACCGUCUCUCUCUCUCUCUCUCUCACUCUCUCUGAUGGAUGCUCCGGGAUCUCCGGCUCGUCGCCGUGGAGGAUGCUGGGACAAACUGGCCGCUCCGGUCGGGCGUGGAGGGUAGUUGACCCUCGGUGUCCGGUGCGGGCGCGGGGAUGCGCUGGGUCUCUGGUCUUGCUCCUAAAGCUCCAACCCAGCCUUAUUCCCAUCCUGUUGACGUCAGGUCGCUGCCGGACCAAUCAGCGCCCCGCCAUGCAAUAAACCAUCAAGCCGCCCCAUCAUAACCCAGCAAGGGCUCUGCGUGCUAUUUAUGCCACACACUCAAGACACCAAUUGUCAAGAAUUUUCCUGCAAACUGUCAUCUGUUACUGAAUGUGUUUGGAGGAAGCGGCUGCAAUGAGGGCUUGGAGCUCGGAGACAGACGCCGCUAACGCUGCCGGGAAAAGGCUUUUGAGCAGGAGGGGGACAAGAAGAAGAACCUGAGCAGCAUCACUUUGGAGACACGAUGUCACCACGACGACGUGAGUCCACGAGGGAGCGGACUCUGGAAUACCGGCUCCAUCCCGACCCGAGCACGUGAUUAAAAAGGCUCUGGAAAGAAGAACGCGCUUUAAGUAAGAGAGAAGGCGCGCGGGGCCGUGAGCGCAGGACCAUGGGGGAGGGGUCCUCCAGUAAUACAGCAAGAAAUAUCACCCCCGACCGGAGCUUUGAUCAACUGAGUGUACCGAGGGAGGAAGAGGAGGAGGAGGAAGAGGAGGAGGGUAAGAGUCCGCUGUUCUGCUCUGCUGCUUGCAGCCUGUUUCUUUUUUCUUUUUUCUUUUUUUACCAAAAGGAAACUGCAAACAGGUGCUGGUGUUCAUAAUAAGACACAUUGAUCAUUCUGACUCAUGAAAACGUUUAUUCUAUAAUAAAAACAAUCGAACUUCUGUGAAA